UAAAGAUUUUAAGGGCGUACGGUGGAUGCCUUGGCGAUAUCAGCCGAAGAAGGACGCGGUAAGCUGCGAUAAGCUACGGAGAGGUGCAAGCAACCUUUGACCCGUAGAUUUCCGAAUGGGGGAACCCGGCAGUGGUUAUGCACUGUCACCCAUAGCUUAGACUAUGAGGAGGGCACCUGGGGAACUGAAACAUCUAAUUACCCAGAGGAAAAGUAAUCAAACGAGAUUUUCUUAGUAGCGGCGAGCGAACGGGAAAGAGGCCAAACCGGAGCGGGCAACCGCACCGGGGUUGAGGACAGUCAUCAAGUGUAAAUGAGGUAGAAGAAUCGAGUUGGAAAGCUCAGCCGAAGAAGGUGAAAGCCCUGUAAUCGAAACCUUGCAUACAUGGGACUGUAUCCAGAGUACCACGAGACACGUGAAACCUUGUGGGAAGCAGGGGGGACCACCCUCCAAGCCAAAAUACUGAUAUCGACCGAUAGCGCAUAGUACCGUGAGGGAAAGGUGAAAAGAACCCCUGGCGGGGAGUGAAAGAGAACCUGAAACCGUAUGUCUACAAACAGUCGAAGUCUGUAUAUAUAUCAGGACGACGGCGUGCCUAUUGAAGAAUGAACCGACGAGUUACUGUUGCUAGCGAGGUUAAGUGGAAAACAUGGAGCCGCAGCGAAAGCGAGUCUGAACAGGGCGUUCAGUUAGUAAUAGUAGACCCGAAACCGUAGUGAUCUAUCCAUGGCCAGGUUGAAGCACAGGUAAAAUUGUGUGGAGGACCGAACUCGUGAGCGUUGAAAAGCUUUGGGAUGAGUUGUGGAUAGGGGUGAAAUGCCAAUCGAACACGGAGAUAGCUGGUUCUCCCCGAAAUAGCUUUAGGGCUAGCCUCGAGGUUGAGAGUAUAGGCGGUAGAGCACUGAUCGGGCUAGGGGCCAUACCGGUUACCGAACCUAGUCAAACUACGAAUGGCUAUACUUAUACUCGGGAGUCAGACAGUGAAUGAUAAGGUCCAUUGUCAAGAGGGAAACAGCCCAGAACACCGACUAAGGUCCCAAAUGUUACACUAAGUGGCGAAGGAUGUGGAGUUUCCAAAACAACCAGGAUGUUGGCUUAGAAGCAGCCACCAUUUAAAGAGUGCGUAAUAGCUCACUGGUCGAGAGACUCUGCGCCGAAGAUGUCCGGGGCUAAAGUGUAAAACCGAAGUCGUGUCAUAUGCAGCAAUGUAUAUGGGUAGGGGAGCGUUCUCAUCGGGCUGAAGCAGUACCGUAAGGAGUUGUGGACUGAUGAGAAGUGAGAAUGUCGGUAUGAGUAGCGAAAAGAAUGGUGAGAAUCCAUUCCACCGAAAGCCUAAGGGUUCCUGAGCAACGAUCGUCGUCUCAGGGUAAGUCGGGACCUAAGCCGAGGCGGAAAAGCGUAGGCGAUGGACAACAGGUUGAAAUUCCUGUACCGGUGUGAAUCGUUUGAUCGAUGGAGUGACACAGUAAGGUAGGUCAGCACGCGAUUGGAAGUGCGUGUUUAAGCAGGUAGGUUGAGCUAUAGGCAAAUCCGUAGCUCUAAAAGCUGAGAUGUGAUGACGAGUGACUAGCAAUAGUCGCGAAGUGAUUGAUCCUACACUGUCGAGAAAAGCUUCUAGGUAGAGACACAUCGCCCGUACCAAAACCGACACAGGUAGGCGGGGAGAGAAUCCUAAGGUGCGCGGGAAAACCCUCGUUAAGGAACUCGGCAAAAUGCCUCCGUAACUUCGGGAAAAGGAGGACUCAUGUAGUGUGAAGAGCAGCAACGCUUGGAGCAUGAAUGAGUGGCACAAGAGAGGCGCAAGCGACUGUUUACCACAAACACAGGUGCCUGCUAAAGCGAAAGCUGACGUAUAGGUGCUGACACCUGCCCGGUGCUGGAAGGUUAAGAGGAGGGGUUAGACUUCGGGUCGAAGCUCUGAAUUGAAGCCCCAGUAAACGGCGGCCGUAACUAUAACGGUCCUAAGGUAGCGAAAUUCCUUGUCGGGUAAGUUCC
rnacentral:rRNA from 1 species